UACGUAGGGGGCAAGCGUUGUCCGGAUUUAUUGGGCGUAAAGAGCGUGUAGGCGGCCAGGUAGGUCCGUUGUGAAAACUCGAGGCUCAACCUCGAGACGCCGAUGGAAACCAUCUGGCUAGAGUCCGGAAGAGGAGAGUGGAAUUCCCGGUGUAGCGGUGAAAUGCGCAGAUAUCGGGAAGAACACCCGUGGCUAAGGCGGCUCUCUAGUACGGUACUGACGCUGAGACGCGAAAGCGUGUGGAGCGAACAGG
rnacentral:rRNA from 1 species